CAGAACAGCUUGAAAAUGGUAACGAAGACAUUUUAGGAAAUCCACCAACGACAUGAUCAAUAGCAGACAUUUUAAAUGAGGAGGAUGUUACUCACGAUAAUAACAGAAGGAACAGACAACGGAUUGGUACGCAAUUGCAAGAAGCACGCGAUAAAUUUGCAGAGAUCGCAGAAAAUCAUACAACUACUUUACGGUUACAUGCAGAGGCCUCGAUGAAACUGGCUGAUUCUGCACUGUUAGCAGCUCAGAACGACUUACAAUUGAAGAAAGAAGAAUUGCA